UUCCGGUUGAUCCUGCCGGAGGCGACCGCUUUUGGAGUUCGAUUAAGCCAUGCGAGUCGAGAGCCUUAGGGGCUCGGCAUACUGCUCAGUAACACGUGGAUAACCUGCCCUAUUGUCUGGAAUAACCUCGGGAAACUGAGAACAAGGCCGGAUAACCCACAAUGCCUGGAACGGUUUGUGGGUGAAGAUAGGAUGGGUCUGCGGCGUAUCAGGUCGUAGGGGGUGUAAUGGACCUCCUAGCCAUCGACGCGUACGGGUGUUGGGAGACAUAGCCCGGAGAUGGAUUCUGAGACACGAAUCCAGACCCUACGGGGUGCAGCAGGCGCGAAAACUUCACACUGCAGGAAACUGUGAUGAGGGAACUCCAAGUGCAUGCACUAUGUGUAUGCUUUUCUUAACUAUUAAUCGGUUUUGGAAUAAGGGCUGGGAAAGACCGGUGCCAGCCGCCGCGGUAAUACCGGCAGCUCAAGUGGUCGUCGCUUUUAUUGGGCCUAAAACGUCCGUAGCCUGUUUGGUAAAUCUGUGGGUAAAUCAACCAGCUUAACUGGUUGAAUUCUGCAGAGACUGCCAGACUAGGGACCGGGAGAGGUGUGGGGUACUCUAGGGGUAGGGGUAAAAUCCUGUCAUCCUUAGAGGACCACCAGUUGCGAAGGCGCCACACUGGAACGGAUCCGACGGUCAGGGACGAAGCCUAGGGGCACGAACCGGAUUAGAUACCCGGGUAGUCCUAGGUGUAAACGCUGUGAACUUGGUGUCGGGGAUCCGUAAUGGGUUCUCGGUGCCGGAGCGAAGAUGUUAAGUUCACUGCCUGGGGAGUACGGUCGCAAGGCUGAAACUUAAAGGAAUUGGCGGGGGAGCACUGCAACGGGAGGAGCGUGCGGUUUAAUUGGAUCAACGCCGGA
rnacentral:rRNA from 1 species